UCCGUCCGGGUCCGUGGUUGCGUCGUCCAGACGCCUGGAUCCAUCCGGGCGCGCGGGCGGCUAGCCGAUGCCAGUCGCAGGCGAAACGGUCCACGUAACCACGACCUGCUCUCGCAGCAGGGCGUGGGAUCACGGUGCGGCUUAGUGGUAAGUCCUGCCUCGACCUCGUCGUCAGAUGCGACGACGGUCGGGAGAAGGCCAGUAGUGGCAGAGAAGCUGCGACCGCCUCAGCAGGCGAUUGUGGGGUCGAAGACCAGGUCGGCCGGGCGGA
rnacentral:ncRNA from 1 species